GAGACAGAGCUGGCGUGCUAAACCCCGAGGAGUAUAGCUGGGCAGUGAAAACUUGCCAGUUUCUAAAACAGAAGAUUUUUUGUGGCCACCCAUUUCUCUUGAAGGGGAGGAAGAAGUCUGAGUCAUCUGGAUUUCCUUGAUCAGCCCAUCUCAGUAACAGCACCAGCUGC